CCUACGGGAGGCAGCAGUGGGGGAUAUUGCACAAUGGGGGAAACCCUGAUGCAGCGACGCCGCGUGUGGGAAGACGGUCCUCUGGAUUGUAACCCACUGUCCCCAGGGACGAAAAUGACGGUACCUGGGGAGGAAGCUCCGGCUAACUACGUGCCAGCAGCCGCGGUAAUACGUAGGGAGCGAUCGGUGUCCGGAAUUACUGGGUGUCAAGGGAGCGUAGGCGGGGAUGCAAGUUGGGUGUAAAAACUACCGGCUCAACUGGUAGUCGCACUCAAAACUGCAGCUCUUGAGUGAAGUAGAGGCAGGCGGAAUUCCUAGUGUAGCGGUGAAAGGCGUAGAUAGUAGGAGGAACACCAGUGGCGAAGGCGGCCGGCUGGGCUUUUACUGACGCUGAGGCUCGAAAGUGUGGGGAGCAAACAGGAUUAGAUACCCGUGUAGUC
rnacentral:rRNA from 1 species